CGUAACAAGGUUUCCGUAGGUGAACCUGCGGAAGGAUCAUUACUGAGUGAGGGCCCUCUGGGUCCAACCUCCCACCCGUGUUUAUUAUACCUUGUUGCUUCGGCGGGCCCGCCGUAAGGCCGCCGGGGGGCUUCUGCCCCCGGGCCCGCGCCCGCCGAAGACAUCUCGAACUCUGUCUGAAGAUUGUAGUCUGAGUAUAAAUAUAAAUUAUUUAAAACUUUCAACAACGGAUCUCUUGGUUCCGGCAUCGAUGAAGAACGCAGCGAAAUGCGAUACGUAAUGUGAAUUGCAGAAUUCAGUGAAUCAUCGAGUCUUUGAACGCACAUUGCGCCCUCUGGUAUUCCGGAGGGCAUGCCUGUCCGAGCGUCAUUGCUGCCCUCAAGCACGGCUUGUGUGUUGGGCCCCGUCCUCCGAUCCCGGGGGACGGGCCCGAAAGGCAGCGGCGGCACCGCGUCCGGUCCUCGAGCGUAUGGGGCUUUGUCACCCGCUCUGUAGGCCCGGCCGGCGCUUGCCGAUCAACCAAAUUUUUAUCCAGGUUGACCUCGGAU
rnacentral:rRNA from 1 species